AAACUCCAUCUCAAAAAAAAAAAAAAGAAAGAAAGAAAGAAGAAAUUCUUCAUGAUGGUGGGGUAGGCAGAGAUCAUAGAAAGAACUUACUAUAAAAGGAGGAAAAAGACAGCAUUAAAAAGAUAAAUAGGUAAGUCAUACACUAGGAGAAGGUUUUGUAAUACAUACUUUUGACAAAAGAUUUCUAUCUGGAACAUAUAAAGAAAUCUAAUAACUCAAUAGUAAGACCCCAACCAAAAUAAAAUAUGGGCAAAAAAAAUUUAACAAAUACCUCAAAAAGAAGAUAUACAAACAUCCAAUAAACACACAUGAAAAGUUGUUCAACAUUAUUAGCCAUUAGGGAAAUGUAAAUUAAAAUCACAAUGAGAUAACAUCACACACUCACUAGAAUGGCUAAACUUUAGGAGAAUCGGUAAUAACGUGUUGGUGACGAUGUGGAACAACUGGAACUCUUAUAUAUUGCUGGCAGGAGUGUGAACUGGAACAGUCACUUGGAAAAAAGUUUGGUGGUGUCUUAUAAAGUUAAACAUAUACUUACCAAUGCCCAGCAAUCUCCAUUAUAGGUAUGGUUGGGAUGUGAUUUGUCUGUGUCAAAACUCAUGUUGAAGUUUGCUUGCCAGUUCUGUCCACUGGGGAGGUAAGGCCUAGUGGGAGGUGCUUGGAUCAUAGGGGUGAAUCCCUUAUGAAAAUAGGUUGGUGCUGUUGUCCUAGUAGAGUGUUUUCUUGUUGUUGUUGUUGUUCUCAAGAGACUGGAUCAAUUCUCAAGGAAUGUAUUAGUUCCUGAGCAAGGGGUUGUAAUAAAGUGAAGUUUCUCCUCCUGUUUGAUCUCUCUUUGCAUACGUCUGCUUCCCCUUUAACCUUUUCUGCCAUGUUUUGACCCAGGACAAAAGCCCUCACCAGAAGCCGAGUGGAUGCCACUGCCACUUGAACUUCCCAGUCUGCAGAACUGUGAGCUACACCUUUUUAUAAAUGACCCAUCUCAAGUAUUCUGUUACAACACCACCAAAUGGACUAAGACAAGUAUUUAUCCAAAGGAAAUAAAAAUGUAUGUCUGCACAAAGAUUAGUACAUGAAAAAUGUCAGAGCAGCUGUAUUCAUAAUAACCAAAAACUGGAAAUAUCCCAAGUAUCCAUCAACAGGUGAACAGAUAAAUUGUGGUAUAUUCAUACAAUGGCUUACUACUCAGUAAUAAAAAGGAACAAAGUAGUGGUAAGUGCUACAACAUGAAUACAACUCGAAAACUUUAUACUGAAAGAUGCCAGAUAGAAGCAUACAUAGCAUAUUAUUACAUUUAAAUGAAGUUCUAGAACAAACAAAACUAUUUUGAUUGGCUGGCCUUGAAAAGGUGACAUUUGAGCAAGAUCUGGAUGUCAAGAGGGAGCCAGCUAUGGCAAGAUCGAUGGGGAGCAUUCCAGGCAAACAGCACUACAGGAACAGGAUCAGGAAAGAGCUUGUUGAGCUUGGAAACAGUCAGCAGGCCACAGUGACUGCGUGAAGUAGGUGGGGCAGAGAAUGGUGGGGGACAGGGUGGAGAGGUGGAUGGGAGCCAGAUCAUGCCAAGCCUUAUCAGCCCUGAUAAAGUUGUGGAAUUUGAUAUGAAUAAAAUGCAAAUCCCUCAUAGUUUUGUGGGGCGGAAACACAUAAGCAAAUAAAGGCAAUUCAGGGUCAUGGGUGAUAUAUUUGGGGAGUGUACAGGGAAAGAGGAGUAGUAGGCAUUAGGGACAUCUGAGAAGGCUUCCCAGAGGAGGUGACAUUUCGGCUGAGACUGGAAGAGUAGUAGAAGAGGGGAAAGGUCAUUCUGGUGGAGGGUACUGUGCCUACAGAAGCUCAGAGACAUGUAGCCUCAGGGAACAUUCAGAGACCUCAGCAUAAUAUAAGCCUAGUUGGAGUGUUCCCAACUAGGAGAGGGAGUGGCAGGAGAUCUGAGGCUGAAGAGAGUGGCUUUGAAUGCUUUGUCAGACUUGAUCCUGCAGGGAAUGGGAAACCCCUGCAGAAUUUAUAGUCAGGAAGUAUCAGGGCCAGGUUGACACUUCAGAUCAAGAUCUCCAGAUUGGCAGGCAGAGAGCAAGGCCACUGGUUCUAGUGUGAGAUAAUGGGGGACUGGGCCUGGGACUGAGCAGGGGUGGGCGGGGCAGGGAGUAGAGCCAAACUCUGCUAAGCAGUGACUAGGACUCUCCCGAUUGAGGCAAAGCUCUCCAGAUCUUGAGGCCCCAGAGGGCCAUAAAUACUUUCAUGCGCAUCUGUUCUCUUGGAGGGCUUGUCACACCUGAAGGCUCCUAGGCCCUGGCUCCCAGGGAUUCAGAAGUGAUAGGUCUAGGAUGAAGCCCAGGAAUCUGCAUACAUAAAAAGUGACACUCUCCACUCUGAUGCGGGUGGACUCCAUACCUUCCAGGCUGGGGAGGGGAGGGGGCAGGACAAGCACACUCUCAUCUGGACUGUGGCUGAAGCAGCUCAGAGAAUCGAAGGUAGCAUCUAAAAUAAGGACCUGGAUGCACUGGGAACAAAGGUAGUGUGUGUCUCCACUGCUGCAGCUAAAGAAUUGCAGUGGAGUGGCCCUGGUCAUCAUGCAGAAAAAUGACUCCUGAUCACCAGUCCAAGGAGCCACAGAAAUAAGAGAUGGGGCCAUGAUCGGACCAUAGAUCUGUCUUUUAACCUGUACCUUCUCCUAGGGUGCAGACAGGGAGGCAGGAAGGGGAUUACUGGAGGCUGCAGUAAACUAGAGAACAAGCUCUGUGCAAAGGAAGCCUCUCUUACCAUUCAGCAUCUCAAUGAAUUAACCCUCACAACAGCUCUAUGUGGUUGGUCCUAUUAUUAUUCCCAUUUCUUAGAUGGGGAAACUGAGACUCAAAAAGGUGGAGUAAGUAGUGCUGGGUCCCAAGGUGAGGACAUAGGGGAACCAUGGCUGGAACACAGGCCUCUGGACACUCCGAAUCAUAGCAUUGCCCUGUGUCCCCUUCAGUGGGAAAAGUCACUUCAUCUCUUAAUCUUAAAUGAUCUUCCAAGCAAGAGGAGGGGAGAGGAGGAGUAUAAGCUUUCUUUGUCCCAUCUUUUUCAGAAGGUAUCUAAGUCCUUCCUGUGUGUGUCUUCCAAAGAUACAGUACCAGGACCUAGAGAGGCUGAGAUUUAGAGCCUCAUGGUGCAAACUCAAUUGUAGGGUCCUAGCCAGGACUACUUGCCUGUAUCUUCUAAGAAUCUCACAACAGUGCCACAUGCCUCAGCUUUAUCCAAGCAACAGAAGGAGGUGGUGGAGGUGGUGAUGGCAGCAGCAGCAGCAGCAGCAGCAGUGGCAGCAAAUCUGUCCCCAGUGCACUACAGUACUGUUUUGCUAUGAUGAAAUACACAUGGCAUAUGGCUACAAAGUUACUAUCUUGAGAGUGGAUAGAAAUGGGAUUUUUCAUGUGCCAGAUUUCACUUCCCUUUCUGAAACAAUUCUUGUAGUAAACAGAGGUUUUCUGAUCUUGCUAAGAUCAAGAGGAUGGGAAUUCCUUUACACUUUUAAAGUAAGACCACUGUCUUGUAGAGUUUCAGUCUGUUGAUGGUGCAAAUGUUUUUUAAACAUGGACGCUAUUCUGUGUUCCUCCCUCUUUCCUUCCAAAGGCUACGACACAAAGAGGAGCUGCUAACACCAGAUGACCAACUCCUUUCCAGUUACGGACCAUCCCGGUGAUGAGACCUCCAUAUGUUGUCUGAUGGCCGCAGUUCCUUGGCAAGUGUCUACAUCUCUUAGGAAGAAGAGAAUAAUGAGAUGAUGUAUGCAGAGCACUGGCAGAAAGCCUAGCAUAGAGGAAUCUGAGGAUUCGCCAUGCAUGCUUCCUGGUAUAUAGUACUAGUUCUUGUCAAUGGCACAGAGACUUGAAGACUGUAUAUAAAUGGACACACCUACUAGAAUGAAUGGAAACCCACACUGCUGUUGUGAAGACACCUGAUGAAACUCCAGCAACUUCUACAUCUGGCCUGCUGCUUAGUCCUGGGACCUGAGGUCAAAAUCUUAGAAAAGAGCCAUGUGAGAUGCAUUCCCUGGCCUCAUCUCUGUUCUUGGAUGCUGUCAGCAACACUCCUUGAGUUUUUACCCACAUAAUAACACUUUCCUCAGCAUGGAUGUGGAGGUGGGGUGCUCUGCAAAGGGUGGCUCUUACCCUCAGAUGGUCCAGAGGUAGUUUGGGGUGUGCAUGGAUCACCUUCACUCUUCAGAGGCAAACAGACAAUGCUGCUCUUCUCCAACAGCCUCUGAAGGACACCACCUACUGACUGGUUCUGAGAUGUUUGCUGCCCCAGAGUCUCCCACCUGCUUCUUCCUCCCCCUCAGUCCUUUUUUGUAGCCUCUCAGCCUCCCUUCUCUUAAUGCUCUUAGCACCCUUUCCUGGGUCUCUAUUUACCCUGCCCUCCCUUUCAGCAACUCCUUCCCAAACCACUGCAUACUUCUCCUUUCUUUCCAAUCCCUCCUCCCUUCCCAGCACUUUCGCCCUCCAUUGAAUCCCUCAAGCCUCAUUCUGGCCCCACUCCUCCCCUCACCCUCUAUCCCUGCCCUCCUCAGAUCUGCCAAACACCUCAGGCCUGGCUGCCUCUGUCCUGUUCCUACCAACCUUCUGACCAUGCCUCUGUGCUCCUUGGGACCUGGGCUCACAUUUUCAAUCUCUUCUCUCCUAUUAGUACAGCUCUGUCUAGAGCCAUGGUUCUUCUCUACCUUUCACAGCUGUCUUCUUUCCCACUUAUAUGAGUUUCUUUAAGUGUGAAAAUUAAAAAGUGCCACUUAAAUACAAUGAUUAAGUCAUAAUAAACAGUACAAGUUGUACUUAUGUGAGACAUACCACCCAUACACGUUUGAUCUU
rnacentral:lncRNA from 10 species